UGGUAUAGAUCAAGGCCUUACAGACUAUUU
rnacentral:piRNA from 1 species